GCCUGGCGCGCAGUGAUGCGUCACGGUUACCGUCACUGGACCAAUGUUGCCCAACGCAAUCAAGACUGAGAGAUAGGCCGGCAAAUUCCAACCUGUAAUGACAACACAGAUACUAAAAAAAAAAGGGAGCAAAAUCUUGCGGAUGAAUGCCAAGAAGCGACCACUGACCUUCGGGCAGCACGCUUACGAUGACCGGGAGCUCGACCCACAAACUGUUGACGGAAAUCCACGAGCCCAUUGCGAACAGCGCCAUAAGGCCGUGGGUCACCGCAUCGCUGCUCCACCAGCCGGCCGACAUGACGCCGCCGACUUUGACCCAAGGAAGGGAGAAGAAAUUACGGAGAGUAAGCCGGUGAGCGCGGUU